rnacentral:lncRNA from 1 species
UCCUUGAUCUUUAGCAUUCACUACUCUUGCUAACUCUAGCAAUUAUAUUCUUUACAUUAUUUACUUUUGGCUACCUCUAGCACUUCACGUUCUUUACUCUCCACAUUACUUUAACUUUAAACAUUGUCAUUUUCAUCAUUCUUUACAAUACAUUAGUUCUUUACCUCACGCUAUCUCUAGUGUCAUUUCACUUUAACUUUAUCGAAUGCCACUUGAUCUAUGUCAUUGUGUCACUC